rnacentral:tRNA from 1 species
CACGGGGUAGAUCAGGUGGCGGAUCGCCCGGCUGGUAACCGGGAGGGCGUCGGUUCGAGUCCGGCCCCCGUGUCCA